rnacentral:rRNA from 1 species
CCCUUAGAUGUUCUGGGCCACACGCGCGUUACACUGAUGAAGCCAGCGAGUAUAUCGCCUUCACCGGAAGGUGCGGGUAAUCUUGUGAAACUUCAUCGUGCUGGGGAUAGACCAUUGCAAUUAUUGGUCUUGAACGAGGGAUUCCUAGUAAGCAUGAGUCAUCAACUCGUGCUGAUUACGUCCCUGCCCUUUGUACACACCGCCCGUCGCUACUACAGAGUGCCCGUGUCCAAGAAACGGUCGGACCUGCGCGGCCUCUCCGGGCGACCGGAGGGCCGUUACGGGGAAGACCCUUUAUUUGACGCGGGUCGAUGAAGUAAAAGUCGUAACA